rnacentral:rRNA from 1 species
UACAGAGGUGGCAAGCGUUGUCCGGAUUUAUUGGGCGUAAAGAGCGUGUAGGCGGCUAGACAGGUCCGUUGUGAAAACUAGAGGCUUAACCUCUAGACGUCGAUGGAAACCGUCUGGCUAGAGUCCGGAAGAGGAGAAUGAAAUUCCUGGUGUAGCGGUGAAAUGCGUAGAUAUCAGGAGGAACACCUGCGGUAUAGACGGCUUUCUGGACCAUAACUGACGCUGAGAUACGAAAGCGUGGGUAGCAAACAGG